rnacentral:rRNA from 1 species
CCAAAAACCCAAAAAUGUGGAAGGGGGUACCCAAAGUGCUUAAUUUUUAAGCUGGGGUAAGUGUGUAAUAUACCUUACUAGAAAGGAGAGGGCAAGGCUGGUGCCAGCCGCCGCGGUAAAACCAGCUCUUCAAGUGGUCGGGAUAUUUAUUGGGCUUAAAGUGUCCGUAUCUUGUAUAAUAAGUUCCUGGUUAAAUCUAAUAGCUUAACUAUUAGUAUGCUAGGAAUACUGUUAUACUAGAGGGCGGGAGAGGUUUGAGGUACUUCAGGGGUAGGGGUGAAAUCCUAUAAUCCUUGAAGGACCACCAGUGGCGAAGGCGUCAGACUGGAACGCGCCUGACAGUGAGGGACGAAAGCCAGGGGAGCGAACCGGAUUAGAUACCCGGGUAGUCCUGGCUGUAAACGAUGCACACUAGGUGUUGGUAUGGCUAUGAGCCAUAUCAGUGCCGAAGGGAAACCAUUAAGUGUGCCGCCUGGGAAAUACGGUCGCAAGGCUAAAACUUAAAGGAAUUGGCGGGGGA